AUUCCGUGAUGAGGGCAUUUCUGUAAUAAUUCUUUGUAUUGUUCCCAUGCCUCAUACAAGGACUUAUCAUCCAUUUGUUAGAAGGAAGUGAUCUUGUUCCUCAACUU
rnacentral:snoRNA from 1 species